GCUAGGUGAGGUGGCGCACACCUGUAAUCCCAGCAGCUCUGGAGGCUAAGAUAGGAGGAUUAUGAGUUCAAAGCUAGCCUCAGCAACUAUGAGGCACUAAGCAACUCAGUGAUACUCUGUCUCUA
rnacentral:sRNA from 1 species